GGGGAGCUGUUUCAAAGGCAAAUCCGAAUUCCUACUAAUACUACUGAACUAGACAGGGUAAACAACUGAAAACGCGUGGCGCACUUUGAACACAUUUCCAAGAUGUAUUUAUUUUAUUAUCUGAACGAGGAAGGUGCAAAAGUAUAUACAAUGAAGAAGGUGGAUCCCAAAGGAAAACCCACUCAGUCUGCUCAUCCGGCGAGGUUUUCUCCGGAAGAUGCUUAUUCUCAUCACCGUAUAAUUAUCAAGAGGAGAUUUCAAUUACUUCCUAUUCAACAGCCUCCUCUUAAGCU